rnacentral:rRNA from 1 species
CGAUACGAGUUUGAUCCUGGCUCAGAUUGAACGCUGGCGGAAUGCUUUACACAUGCAAGUCGAACGGCAGCACGGGGGCAACCCUGGUGGCGAGUGGCGAACGGGUGAGUAAUACAUCGGAACGUGCCCAGUCGUGGGGGAUAACGUAGCGAAAGCUACGCUAAUACCGCAUACGAUCUACGGAUGAAAGCGGGGGAUCGCAAGACCUCGCGCGAUUGGAGCGGCCGAUGGCAGAUUAGGUAGUUGGUGGGGUAAAGGCUCACCAAGCCUUCGAUCUGUAGCUGGUCUGAGAGGACGACCAGCCACACUGGGACUGAGACACGGCCCAGACUCCUACGGGAGGCAGCAGUGGGGAAUUUUGGACAAUGGGCGAAAGCCUGAUCCAGCCAUUCCGCGUGCAGGAUGAAGGCCCUCGGGUUGUAAACUGCUUUUUGUACGGAACGAAACGGCCUUUUUCUAAUACAGAGGGCUAAUGACGGUACCGUAAGAAUAAGCACCGGCUAACUACGUG